GGUCUUGUAGCUCAGCUGGAUAGAGCAACUGCCUUCUAAGCAGUAGGUCCUGCGUUCGAAUCGCAGCAAGAUCA
rnacentral:tRNA from 1 species